GUACUCACUGGUGCUCACAUAUUCUAAAAUUGGAAUGAUACAGAGCAGAUGUGCAUGGCCCCUGCACAAGUAUGGCACACAAAUUCAUGAAGUGGUCGAUAUUUUU